rnacentral:misc_RNA from 1 species
AGGAGGAUAUCAGCAACAGCAGCGACAGCAUUCAUACCUAUACAAAAUGUAUCUUAUAAAACACUUUGAACUGAUGAUGAACUUGUUCUUAAAUGACAUUUUUCUUAUUUUCAGGCAGUAAAAAUGAGCUAACUGGACGUUAGUAACGUACAGCUAUAAACGCUCAGCGUCUGUCUGUUACGUCAGAACUGUGACGCUGGUCUCCUAGACGCUGGCGUCUUUAAAGUAACACAGAAUGCGAUCUCUCUGGUGUCUCUGUGGCCGAGUGGUUUAAGGUAGCAUCCAGCAGGCGUACAGAGGGUCUAUGGUUGUACUGAAAUAUGGCAUGGAGGGAACAUGGGGUCCUCCACCAUCAAAAGCUUGAAAGUCGCCAUAUGACGCAUAAUUGUCAGUGUGAAACUAUAGGACACAAAAUAUGAUGCAGGAAAGGGCCAAAAAGAGUUUGACAUUGACAUCAGCCAAGGACCAUGACUUCUGUGCACUGGCAGACCCAAAGAAAGAUACAAUGUUAGAGGUUUGGAUCUCUGUCCAGACUGUGCCCCUUCUGCAGAUUUGCAGUUUGAAAAAAAAAAACCUUCAUCAAUCAUUUAGAUGAAUAGACCAGAUUCAAGCUGGAAAAAGUUGGUUACUGUUGGAUCAAACCUAAUGGAGCAGUUUCUUGAUCUAGUAGGUAUGUGCUAGACUUGUAAUCCAGGGGUCACAGGUUCCAUCUGCUGCUCUUCCACUGACAUAGCUAAUCAUCUUUCAGAAGAUAAGCACACCGGAUAGUUGCCAUACAGAUAUAUAUUUGAAAGUUUACCUAUCGUGUUCGCAAAUGGUCGUAUACUGUGAUUCGUAAGGGAUCUUGGUGGAUGGACAAAACGGUAGAGAUCAGCUGAUAAUUGCGUGAAUAUUGGACUUCUAGUUACUGGUCACUAUAGGAAAACAAAGACUGACAGAACUUGACAUUUCCGGAGGCGUCCAGUAACUACACCUGGACUGGUAAAGAUGUGCCAAGUAUUACACAGAUGUGUCCUUCUACUUUCAUUUUUGACACAAGUUUUAUGCAACAAUGGGCCUAUGUUCUCAUCACAACCCCCAAUCAUAAAACCAGAGGACACCCCAAUAAACUCAACAAUCGGCACCUUGAUGGCUACUGAUGACGACGGGCCCCAGGAACUUAAAUUUUCGAUACCAGCAGGUCAUGUGACUGAACAGUAUGUAAGACUAGAUAAUGUUCGAGGCGUCAGUACAGAAGGAAGAAAGGCGGACAUUGUACUCAUUAAAAAACUAGACAGGGACUUCACUCAAAAUACGUUUAUAAAGUUGAGAUUUGUCGUGGAAGAUAACCCAGGAGCAGAAGGCAACAUUAUUGUACAAGAAAUCACUCUGUAUAUAAGGGAUGUGAAUGAUGAGAAGCCAAUCUUUCGUGAGACCAGAUAUGAGAAAGAUGUUUUAGAAAAUGCUGCCAGUGACUUCUUAGUGGUAACUGUAAAGGCAGAUGACCCUGACACUGGGGAAGUUAUUAAAUACUCUAUGGAGCCUGUUGGUCAAGCCAUAUCUGAUGAUUAUAAAAAUGCAUUUAAAAUAGACCAGACUUCCGGAAAAGUUACUGUCAAUAGUAAACUGGAUGCUAACAUACACAAUUACUAUGAGUACACUUUAAUUGCAAGUGAUGUUGGUAAUAAAACUGGCCAGUCUGUAUUGCUAAUCAAAGUUGUAGAUGUCCAGGAUAAGCCACCAUACUUUACCAACUUGCCGUACAGUACCUCCAUAUUUGAAAAUGCCACAGCGAGUACCCAAGUUGUCCAGGUAACGGCUCUGGACGGGGACAAGGGAGCUUCAAACACAGUCUCGUACAGCUUUGUAGGUGGCCAGACUACAAACUUUGAUAUAGACAGUACCUCUGGUUGGAUAACUGUGAAGUCAUCUUUAGAUCGUGAUGCUCCUGAUGUCAGACAAAGUGGAGGGGUUUAUGCCAUCUAUGUAAAGGCCCGGGAAAAUGAUAACACACAAGCUGAGGAUCAGAUCACAGCAACCACUCUAGUGACAAUAACGGUAAAGGACGUGAAUGACAACGAGCCAAAGUUCAACUCACCGAAAUAUGAAGCAUUUAUCCUAGAAAAUAUGCAGGAGGGUGUACCAAUUACCUUCAAUGGGCCAAAUUCUAUUAGUUUCAUGAAUGUCAGUGACAUUGAUCAGGGUGUAUUCAGCCAUUUCCAGUUGUCUUUAGAGAAAAACGGUCAGCCUUAUAACGACUUUGCACCCUUACCCAGUGAGGUGUUUGUUGAAUCCUCGGUCCUUAUACGUGUACAGAACAGCACAGCCCUUGAUUAUGAAAAAAUCACAAACGUUACUUUCCAGAUUGUUGCCAGAGAGAUUGGAACAAAAGAAUUAUGGUCAAGUACAGCAGAUAUAACAGUAAAUAUUCAGGACAUGAAUGAUAACUCACCAGUAUUUCAACCAGAGGCACUCCCGACGCUCACCAUGCUGGAAAAUGCUACAGUUGGAACAGAGCUUACAGUCCUCACAGCUACUGAUGCAGACAGGGGAAAUUUUGGUAAAAUAACAUACCAUAUAAGAGGCAGUAACCAAAUAUUUCAGAUAAAUGAGACAACAGGAAGGAUAACUCUUGCAGGAAGUUUAGAUCGUGAAAAAGUUGACAAUUACUUCCUGACAGCUGAGGCGAGAGACGGAGGUGGGCUUACAACAUUUAUCAAUCUGGAUAUAAAGGUGCUUGAUGUGAACGAUAAAAACCCUGUGUUUCGCCGAGAGGAGCAGUUUGUUACUGUUAGAGAGGAUAGCCUACAGUUCCUUAGAGGCAAUCUUGUUGUUGAGGCAACAGAUGAUGAUGAACCAAACACACCCAACAGUGAGAUAAUGUAUAGAAUAACCAAGGCUUCAGCUGGUUUAAAAAACAAGUUCUUUGUGAACCAGACCUCGGGGUUAAUAACUAUGGUGGAAAAGAUAGACUAUGAGGCCCUACCAGCCAGCCUCAGUGGUAGAGUCCUUCUGGAGGUGGAGGCGUAUGACCUCGGGGUUCCAAGUCUUUCUACCACCAUCAAUGUCACUAUGGAAAUAGAGGAUGUGAAUGACAAUGCACCAGUUUUCAGUCCAAAAACAUACACAGCUAGCGUUCCAGAGAGUGCUACUGCAGGCGUAAGUGUGGUAAAGGUGUCUGCCACUGAUGCUGACAGCAGCAAACCAAAUAACCAGUUCCUGUAUAGAAUCGACAGCGGAGCAGGCGACAAGUUCCGCAUUGACUUCCAGACAGGUGAUAUAGUUAUAGAGGUUGGAGCAAAACUUGAUCGAGAGACGAAGGACAAUUACAUCUUAAAUGUGUCGGCGACAGAUCGUGGUGCAGUACCAAUGACGGGCCUCUGUAUUGUAAAUAUCACAGUUCUAGAUGUGAACGAUGAGCCUCCAGUGUUUACUCCAUCAACUAUAUCCACAUCUAUCAAUGAAAAUUCUUCUCCAGGUGACCAAGUUGUUUGUACAACAGCGACUGAUCCAGACAGCACCCAUACACUACAGUACAGUAUUGUACCUGGCUCAAUACAAGGAUCAGAUGAGAAUGGUAAAGCGGUCAAUGUUACCACUACAGGAGUACAGAAUUAUUUCACAAUCAACAAAGACACCGGAUGUAUUACUGUGCAAAAUCAGCCUGACAGGGAAACAGCAGAAACAGUUGUGUUUAAUGCAAUGGUUAGAGAUAUUCUGGCUUUAACAGGGCCGGGAACCAAAGAACAAACUGCUAUAGCAAGUAUUACGAUUACAUUGUUAGACUACAAUGACAACUCACCAGAGUUCUUACCAAAUGCCUCAUACAGUUUGAAGAUCUCCGAGGGUCUAGAGCCACAGUCUGAGGUUCUCAGGUUUGAGACUCGAGACAAAGACAAGAACCAGCAGAUCUCGUACCAGAUGGACAAAGACCCAAACAACAACUUUAUAGUAACAGAAAACUCUGGUAUUUUAAGACUGAACAAGGCUCUAGACAGAGAGGAAACUGACAUCUUGGAGGUUACAGUGCUAGCUAUGGACGAUGUUGAUCCCAAACGAACAUCUACAGCCACUGUCCUUAUCCACGUACAAGACAUUAACGAUAACACACCAGAAUUUACCCCAUACAAUCUCAAUUACAAAGUGAAAGAGGAUGCUGAAGUUGGUCAACCCAUUGUUACAAUCUCUGCUUCCGACAAAGAUUUAGGAGAGUAUGGAAAAGUUGUCUAUAGUUUUGAUGUCAGCAAUGAUGAUGAUAAACUGAAAAUCAAUAGACUAACUGGAAUAAUAUCAGUGGCUAAGAAACUAGACAGAGAAACCCGUAGUUCAUAUACUUUAUAUGUGACAGCAGUAGAUAACCCAGAUAAUCCAAACAACCAGAGAACCAAUCAGACAAAAGCAAUCACUAUAGAGGUGGAAGAUGUUAAUGAUAAUGAUCCUGAAUUUACAAACAUUGAUGAAAACACACGUGCUUCAGUUCUGGAGAAUGCCUGGGACCCAAACAAAGAAGGGCCGGCUGUCUUCUCGGUGUCAGCAGAAGACAAGGAUGUCGGAGAAAAUGCUAGACUGGUUUACACAAUUUCUGCCAAUGAGACUGUAUCUUCUCUCUUCACUAUUGAAACUGUGUCACGGACUAUUGGAGGAGUGCCAAAAUAUUUCGGAGAUAUCCGAGUGGCGAGCAACCUUUUAGGAAAUGUUGGUGACUUACACUUGAAUGUUACAGUUACUGAUCAAGGAGUGCCACCAAGGUCAGCACAGACUGGAUUGAUUAUUGUUGUUGAAGAUGUGAAUCUACAUCAGCCUGUCUUCACGAGUCCCACAGGGCCGAGGGCAGAAAUCAAUACUAACGAGAAAAAUCCAGUGGGAUCUAUAGUGUUCCAGAUUGAGGCUACGGAUGAGGACCAUGGUCGCAACAGUAAGAUAACAUACGAAAUACAAGAGGAGAAUGACUGGGAAGUGUUUAGUAUACACCCGGAAACCGGCUUACUCACUAAUAAAGUCAUAUUGGAUAGAGAGACCAAAGAAAGAUACGAGAUUAAGAUCAAGGCAGAAGAUAAUGGAGUUCCGAACCCACUUCACAGUACACUAACGUUGAUCAUCAUGGUGCUUGACAUAGAUGACAAUGUCCCAGAAUUCACUGUUCCACGGAAUAAACCAUACAAGAUACAGAUCGAGGAGGAACGUGUGCACGAUCAGACCACGACUGGACUAAACAUUGCAGUUGAUAAAGAUUCUGGGGACAAUGCCAUCAUCUGUUACUAUAUCAUUGGUGGCAACAAAGAAGUUAGCAGUCAUUUCCAGCUAGAUCAGAAGGGCAACUUAACCUUGACAAAGUCGUUUGACCGUGAAAACUUGACAGUACCUUACAUCAAUAUGAUCGUCAUGGCAACACCUUCGUGCUAUGCUGACAUUGCUAUAGAUACUAGCCUAACCUCUUUUCCACCAAGUGGCUAUGCUGGCAAUCUCUCACUCCUUUGGGUGCAGGUUGAGAUACAAGACAUCAAUGACAAUCCACCAAAGUUCAAGCAGUCAGUGCUCACACUAGGUGUCACCAGGGAUACAGGGUUUGGCAUGUCCAUUACCAAUCUUCAGGAUCUGGUGACAGACGAAGAUGCUACAAUGAAGGUAGACUUUGCUGCCGUUUGUACCGAGCACCAUCUACAGAACAAGAAGCUUGAGUGUACGUCGGGACAGAACCCGAAAUCUCAACCAUUCCUUGUGUUUAAGAAUGGUACCGUAGCAACAAAUACAUACUUCCAAGCUAACAUGUACGGCUACUACCUCAUACAUAUCCAGGCCAAAGAGAACGUCACCGGUGGAGAGCCAUUCAUAGCUAAUGCAACACUUCGGAUAUCGCUGAUCAAUGACGACCAGCGUGUGAAGGUUGUCUUCAGAAACACGCCAGAUAUUGUCCGAAGUUUCCAGGUGGCAUUUACACAAAAACUUCAACAAACAACAGGCUAUAGAAUUGUUGUUGAUAAAAUUCAGACACAUGAAAAUAGAUACGGUCUUCCUGAAGUUAAUAAAACUGACAUGUUUAUUCAUGGGGAAAAUAUGAAGACCAAUGAGACAAUAUCGGCACAAGAGCUUCUAAGGGUGAUAGACUCUUUUGCUGAAGCAUUGUUGGGGUUGAGAUAUGAUUACAAGGUGCUAGAAAUUGUGCCAACAACUACAGCCAAGGAGGAGCAGAGUUUAGAAGAUACGUUCAAGAUGGCUUUAAUACUUGUGACAAUCGGUCUGACACUACUCUGUGUUGGAUUAUGCAUUGUAUUCUACAUAUCCAGACAACAGUAUAAGAGAAAAUUAAAAGCUGCCACAGCGAUGGCUUAUGGUUCUAGCUCAGAUCUACACAAGUCUGAAUUGCCAGGCACCAAUGUACAUGCUUAUGAAAAAGUUUACACUAACGAGGGACAGACAAGAUUUUAGGUACCAACCCAAUCUAUUUAGAAAAAGUGCUAUUAGAAGAAGCAGGUGAAAGAGAUGAUGAUGAUGAUGAUUCCCUGGAUGAUAAUGCAGUAGACCCGACCCAACCUUCA